AGAAACCAUGGACAUGGAUUUAACAUCAUCUCUUUCCCCAGGAGGUUCAGUAUCUAACAACCCAAAGAGGAGCAACAAAACCCCAUGUGGGACUCUGGGGCCAGCACAGGGUGGGGACUGCAGAGGGAUCCUGACCCACGGAGCAGAGAGUAUCAACACUGUCUGCCAGUCAACGAGGAAGAAAGUUUGGCUCAGAGAAGAGAGCACGAGGCUGGACAUGAGAGAGGGAGACAUAACUCCCAAAACAUUUGUGUGAUCUGGAAUAAAAUGCACGUAUUUCCUCAUCUCUCCAGCCAGGCUGCUUUCAGCCUGCAGGGAACAGCUGCGGGCAUGGUACAGCAGCCAGCAUGGUUCAGAGCAGUGCGACCAUUGCUCGCUAUUUAUGAAAAUAGCUAUCAAAUAGCAACUGAAUCAAUUAUUCAGAUCAAAACCCUACCCUGCAACACUCUGAGCGCCUUGAGUUCAGAUUGACAGGAAGUGAGAGCACUCAGCACCCUGCACCAUUGCAUCCUGGAAAGAGGAGACACCGUAACACCUACUUUGCACAGCGCAGCCAGAGACAGCUCCACCAGCCUCUUGUUACACACUCACACCUUCCCUGGGGCCUGGGGCACUGUAGCCCAGAGGAGAGCCUUGCACAAAGGCAAAACGUUGAUACAGGCUGUGCCCACCUCCUUGCACAGUGGGUGGGUACUGCAGCAGGUCAGGAUCUCGAGAGGCAGAGUUGCUGAGCUGCGUGCAGAACAAAUGAUGUGAUUUCCAUUUGUUGGUGACAUUAGGGUAGUCUGACAUGACAGGAUGACUUUGUGAAAGCAAGGAAAAGAUAUUAAACCUCAUGGCCAGGCUGCAGCAAUAGUCAAUUGUGGCACAGUGUGACAUGGGACACAUCUUCACAAACAGAGCGAAGAGCUGAGCUCCACAACAGAAGCAUUAAUUAGCCUCCGUAUCUCUGUGGUUCUGUGAUCCAUGCCAGCAGGGAGACUUGACUUCAUCCCCUGUCAGUGGCUCUCAAGAGGUGGCUGUGCUGAGCUCUCCAUGCCAGGGAUGCUGUGCAGCC
rnacentral:lncRNA from 1 species